UACGUAGGGUGCGAGCGUUGUCCGGAAUUACUGGGCGUAAAGAGCUCGUAGGUGGUUUGUCGCGUUGUCCGUGAAAACUCACAGCUUAACUGUGGGCGUGCGGGCGAUACGGGCAGACUGGAGUACUGCAGGGGAGACUGGAAUUCCUGGUGUAGCGGUGAAAUGCGCAGAUAUCAGGAAGAACACCAAUGGCGAAGGCAGCUCUCUGGGACGGUACUGACGCUGAGGCGCGAAAGCCAGGGGAGCAAACGGG
rnacentral:rRNA from 1 species